rnacentral:rRNA from 1 species
CAGUAGCCGCGGUAAAACGGAGGGUGCAAGCGUUAAUCGGAAUUACUGGGCGUAAAGCGCACGCAGGCGGUCUGACAAGUCAGAUGUGAAAUCCCCGGGCUUAACCUGGGAACUGCAUUUGAAACUGUCAGGCUGGAGUCUUGUAGAGGGGGGUAGAAUUCCAGGUGUAGCGGUGAAAUGCGUAGAGAUCUGGAGGAAUACCGGUGGCGAAGGCGGCCCCCUGGACAAAGACUGACGCUCAGGUGCGAAAGCGUGGGGAGCAAACAGGAUUAGAUACCCCUGUAGUCCCUGUCUCUUAUAC